AUUGAACGCUGGCGGCAUGCCUUACACAUGCAAGUCGAACGGCAGCACGGGAGCAAUCCUGGUGGCGAGUGGCGAACGGGUGAGUAAUAUAUCGGAACGUGCCCAGUCGUGGGGGAUAACGCAGCGAAAGCUGUGCUAAUACCACAUACGAUCUACGGAUGAAAGCGGGGGAUCGCAAGACCUCGCGCGAUUGGAGCGGCCGAUAUCAGAUUAGCUAGUUGGUGAGGUAAAGGCUCACCAAGGCGACGAUCUGUAGCUGGUCUGAGAGGACGACCAGCCACACUGGAACUGGGACACGGGCCAGACUACUACGGGAGGCAGCAGUGGGGAAUUUUGGACAAUGGGCGCAAGCCUGAUCCAGCAAUGCCGCGUGCAGGAUGAAGGCCUUCGGGUUGUAAACUGCUUUUGUACGGAACGAAACGGCGAGCUCUAAUACAGUUUGCUAAUGACGGUACCGUAAGAAUAAGCACCGGCUAACUACGUGCCAGCCGCCGCCGUAACAC
rnacentral:rRNA from 1 species